ACUUGCUUCUUCCUUGGACUGGGACUGACUGGCUGUAAAUCUCUUACACUGAGCACCUGAUGAGUUGGAAUGUCAAAUCUCUUUUGUUAGAGCAACAUGCCUCGACUAACUGAGAAAUAGCCAAGUAAAUUGUGCUUACUCAAAUGGAGUGCGAACUAGGUUACCACAGCUACUCAUAUGCAAAAUGAGGUGAAACGUCCUGGACUCCUGGCUGUAUUUAUUCCUGAUGAUUGGGUAUCUCCAAUGUAUGCAGAUCCAUGGUGGAUCAAGUGGAAUCGGUACAUUCACUAUACAGAAUUCAAAGCACCUUGGAAAUGUACACACGAGACAUUAUUCUUUAGACAACAUCUCUACUGCUCUAGGAGGCACUUUUGACUGUCUGCAUCACCUUUAGGAAUUGCAGCUGGGCUGCAGAAGAGCUAAAUAACAAACCAAGAACUCCAUAUAUCUAUUGUGAAGAUAAGUAUUAUAAGCAGAGACAAUUUUUGACAUUUUACAUUCAUACAUCAACACAAAUUGAUGUAUGCUAUCGCUGUUAUGUAGCCAUGGCCAUCAUACAAAACUACGAUGCAUAAAAAAUUGAGGUUCGUCAUUUAUAUUCCAAGAUAUGAGAAUAAAAAGACCAAUUUACACAAAAGUUCACUGGGAUGAAUUUAUAAAAUUAGCUGGGAAUUACUGCAGUUUGUCUACAAUUUAUAAAACUAUACUGCUAAGUUUCAUUUUGUUCCAAACAGUGUGCCAAUUCACAUGGACCAAGCUUAUAUGUGGUACUUCUAACCCACAAACUAAACAGAUUUCUUAGUUCAGAUCAUACUUCUAUGUAGGAAAAGGCUAGUGCGGCUCUUAAGAACCCUAACCAAUGCCGCUUUGGUUUUACAACUUUCAUUGCUUCUAACAUCCAAAUCAAACUGUUGUUACACACAUGUUUUCUGUACAAAUGCACUAAAAAAAUCCUACAUUUACUUUCUCGUAGAAUUGCAUUUUUCUGGUUGUAAAAAUAGGAUGAGCAGCAACUUUCUUGUCAACAUGAUGGCCUCCUGAAAAUAAUUGAGACCCGUCCAUCACUUAUUUAUGAACUACUUUUCAGUGUCUUCUAUCGAUGAUAAGUGAGCUACUUUUUCCUUAGAGAUCACCUUCCCGUUGGCACUAACUUGUAUAGCACACAGUUUCCCUUCCCAAUGCACUCGUAAUGCAUAGAUAGUCCCUCCUAAUCAUUUUGUGUUCAUUUUUAUGUCAAGAUUCAAAUCGAAUUUCCGACAUCAGAGACACGUAUUCUGUUAAUCAGGUGCUGAAGAAAAAAUCAAUCCUCUCCACUUGAAGGUAGGUGAUGCACACAGAUUUCUUCUUACCUUGCAAGCAACGUUGGAUGAAGAGAGUAGGCAUGAUCAUGGACAAACGCAUGCCGUCUUGCCUCGAUCUUGCAGGAGAGGAGGACAUUGUUUAUUUGCGUAGGGCUGUCGGGGGAUAAUUCGAUCGAGUAGGAGUUGUUACGUGGAAGAGGAGCUAGCAGCUGGGCGAUCGUUUGGCUAGGUGACGAGGAAGAAAUUGAUACGGCCGGCCGUUGUAUGGGAGCACGGCCAGAGAUGGAGUUCGAUACGGUCUGCACCCAAAUCAGAAGGUUUGGCCACCCUUAACAAUAUCCUCAUCGGAUAUAACUUGGGGAAGGCGAAGGCGUGCCCCCUACUAUAUAAGCUCGGCCACCCACGCCCCAAACAAAUCACAACCAACCUUCCUCAAGUCGUUUGUUCCCCCGAGCAAUCGAGUUGUGUUCCCGGCGAUCGAUCGAUCCCUCUUGCUGAGCAUCAUGGUUUCCGCCGA